rnacentral:rRNA from 1 species
GACGAACGCUGGCGGCGUGCUUAACACAUGCAAGUCGAGCGGUAAGGCCCUUUCGGGGGUACACGAGCGGCGAACGGGUGAGUAACACGUGGGUGACCUGCCCUCAGCUCUGGGAUAAGCCUGGGAGACUGGGUCUAAUACUGGAUAUGACUCCACGGUGCAUGUCGUGGGGUGGAAAGCCUUGUGCGGCUGAGGAUGGGCCCGCGGCCUAUCAGCUUGUUGGUGGGGUGAUGGCCUACCAAGGCGACGACGGGUAGCCGGCCUGAGAGGGCGACCGGCCACACUGGGACUGAGACACGGCCCAGACUCCUACGGGAGGCAGCAGUGGGGAAUCUUGCGCAAUGGGCGAAAGCCUGACGCAGCAACGCCGCGUGGAGGAUGAAGGCCCUUGGGUUGUAAACUCCUGUCGGCUGGGAAGAAAUCGUUCGGGGUUAAUACCCUCGGACGUUGACUGUACCAGCAAAGGAAGCCCGGCUAACUCUGUGCCAGCCGCCGCAGUAAU